AGAGUUUGAUCCUGGCUCAGAUUGAACGCUGGCGGCAUGCCUUACACAUGCAAGUCGAACGGCAGCAUGAUCUAGCUUGCUAGAUUGAUGGCGAGUGGCGAACGGGUGAGUAAUACAUCGGGACGUGCCCUGUAGUGGGGGAUAACUAGUCGAAAGAUUAGCUAAUACCGCAUACGACCUGAGGGUGAAAGUGGGGGACCGCAAGGCCUCAUGCUAUAGGAGCGGCCGAUGUCUGAUUAGCUAGUUGGUGGGGUAAAGGCCCACCAAGGCGACGAUCAGUAGCUGGUCUGAGAGGACGAUCAGCCACACUGGGACUGAGACACGGCCCAGACUCCUACGGGAGGCAGCAGUGGGGAAUUUUGGACAAUGGGCGAAAGCCUGAUCCAGCAAUGCCGCGUGUGUGAAGAAGGCCUUCGGGUUGUAAAGCACUUUUGUCCGGAAAGAAAUGGCUCUGGUUAAUACCUGGGGUCGAUGACGGUACCGGAAGAAUAAGGACCGGCUAACUACGUGCCAGCAGCCGCGGUAAUACGUAGGGUCCAAGCGUUAAUCGGAAUUACUGGGCGUAAAGCGUGCGCAGGCGGUUGUGCAAGACCGAUGUGAAAUCCCCGAGCUUAACUUGGGAAUUGCAUUGGUGACUGCACGGCUAGAGUGUGUCAGAGGGGGGUAGAAUUCCACGUGUAGCAGUGAAAUGCGUAGAGAUGUGGAGGAAUACCGAUGGCGAGGGCAGCCCCCUGGGAUAACACUGACGCUCAUGCACGAAAGCGUGGGGAGCAAACAGGAUUAGAUACCCUGGUAGUCCACGCCCUAAACGAUGUCAACUAGUUGUUGGGGAUUCAUUUCCUUAGUAACGUAGCUAACGCGUGAAGUUGACCGCCUGGGGAGUACGGUCGCAAGAUUAAAACUCAAAGGAAUUGACGGG
rnacentral:rRNA from 1 species